GUGCCAUUCGAUUAACAGGAUAAAUCCCGGGCCUCCUAAGCCCGAGCUGCUGGUUCGAGUCCAGCAUGGCACA
rnacentral:tRNA from 1 species